AGCACGUGAUGAAGACACAGAUAUCACCAAGAACGGCUUGAUGCCUCCUACAGAAGUGUCCAUUGCAUGUUGGAAGUUCCUGAGCUGAACAGCAAGGUUGUUUGCCAUCUUCAUCUCCCUAGGCAAGACUGCCCUGGAAGAGCGAGUGAUGUGGAUGGAGACAGGGAAUACUGAGGUCUGCUGACGUCAGUCGAUGGCGGCCAUGUGGAUGGACGGCGGGCAUGUGGACGGACGGAGAACACCCAGCAUCAGCUGGCGCAGUGACAUCAAAGACUACGUUUCCUAGCCUCCCUCGCUGCCAGAUGUGGUCACAAGACUACGUUGGGCCCAGGAAAGAGGGAAGAUGGAGCAGGCGAACUGGGUGGGAAUUCCGGGAAUUCUCCACACAGGGGACGGGCCGUGCCCUGCUCUCCUUCGCUC
rnacentral:lncRNA from 10 species